rnacentral:rRNA from 1 species
CCUACGGGUGGCAGCAGUGAGGAAUAUUGGUCAAUGGGCGAGAGCCUGAACCAGCCAAGUCGCGUGAAGGAUGACGGCCCUACGGGUUGUACACUUCUUUUGUCAGGGAGCAAUUGAGUCCACGUGUGGGCUUAGCGAGAGUACCUGAAGAAAAAGCAUCGGCUAACUCCGUGCCAGCAGCCGCGGUAAUACGGAGGAUGCGAGCGUUAUCCGGAUUGAUUGGGUUUAAGGGGUGCGUAGGCGGAAUAUCAAGUCAGCGGUAAAAAUUCGGGGCUCAAGCCCGUCGUGCCGUUGAAACUGAUGUUAUUGAGUGGGCGAGAAGUAGGCGGAAGGCGUGGUGUAGCGGUGAAAUGAAUAGAUAUCACGCAGAACUCCGAUUGCGAAGGCAGCAUACCGGCGCCCAACUGACGCUGAAGCACGAAAGCGUGGGUAUCGAACAGGAUUAGAUACCCUAGUAGUC